UGAAAAAAUAAAAGUCACCUUAGCAAAAUUGGAACAAUACAGAGAAGAUUACCCAUGUGAAAUGAUGACACGCUCUAAUCAAGAUUUGGUAUGUUUUCAU
rfam:Brassica napus, WGS project CCCW01000000 data, contig: 6306